rnacentral:lncRNA from 1 species
UUUUUUGCAGCUUUUGGGUUCUCCAUACCAGAAAUCUGUUUGUUUUUCAAGUCUUUUCCUUCCUUUUCAUCAAUAACCUUAAGUCUAGUAACUAGGGGAUUUGUGGCAGCUGGGGAUUUAGUGUCAGACCCAUGGAUGAGAACAGUCUGAUCAAUUGGAUCGAAAGUAUUGGACAUGAUCAUGGGAGCUUUUGGAGAGGAUAUAUUCGAACUGAAUUUGGCCCCUCGAG